UUAGUAAAGAAUAAUGCACUGCCUGAAAUUACUGUUAAUUUGCUGCCAUAAAUCAAAUUGAAGCAAAAUGCUGGGAUAUAUAGAAUAUUAUGUAAAAUGAGAUCAUCACUAAGUUUAACUAUCCCAACAUGUGAAACUGUGACACUUUGGCUAUUUGGCAACCCAACAAGGAAAUUGGCAAUAGGUUGGUAAGAAUGAAACAAGCUCAGAUCACAAGCAAUAUGAUCAGUGGCACCAGUGUCCACUAUCCAUGUGUUUUUGAAUGAUGAGUUUCCAAGAAUAGUUGAAAGAACAAUACCAGAAUUGCAAGAAUCAAAGAAAUUGGUAUUCAAUUGUUCUGAUGAGAAAAACUUCCACCAUUUGAAUUGUGGGAAACAUCAAAUUGUGAAUUAGUUGCUGUGUUAUGUGCACCAUUAUAAGAAAUUUGAGUAGCUGCAACUGAAGAAUUUCCAGGUUGAUUCUUACCUUGAUUGGGCUUGAUAAGUGCCAUAAUUUGAUGAAAUUGAUCCUUAGUAAAAGAAAGUUGCUCAGAUUCACACCUAGGUACAGGAUUUUGUUGAGAAAAACCACUAUUAUCAACUGAACUCACUACUGCAACAUUAAAAUUGUUCCUUCCCUUUGGUUUCAUUCCUGGUGGGUAACGAUGUUUUUUAUAGCAUUUCUCAAUAGUGUGUCCAGGCCAUCCACAAAAAGUGCACAUCAUAGGCUUUUUGUUUCCUUGAUAGAAAUUACUCCUAGACUGCUGUUGAGAAGGAAUGGCUUUAGUUGCUUGAACAUUAUUUUUGUAAUUCUG
rnacentral:misc_RNA from 1 species